rnacentral:rRNA from 1 species
UACAGAGGGGCCAGCGUUAUUCGGAAUUAUUGGGCGUAAAGGGCGCGUAGGCGCCAUGCGUGUCUUCCGUGAAAUCCCUCGGCUUAACUGAGGACGUGCGGAAGAAACUGCAAGGCUUGAGUCCGGGAGAGGGGGGUGGAAUUCCCAGUGUAGCGGUGAAAUGCGUAGAUAUUGGGAGGAACACCGGUGGCGAAGGCGGCCCCCUGGACCGGUCACUGACGCUGAGGCGCGAAAGCGUGGGUAGCAAAACGGG